CGUCUACUCCCUUCGUUCGGAAUUACCUGUCUCGGAAAUGGAUGUAUCUAAAACUGAAAUACGUCUAGAUACAUCUAUUUCUACGACAAGUAAUUUCGAAUGAAGGGAGUAGUAU
rnacentral:pre_miRNA from 1 species